rnacentral:rRNA from 1 species
UAGUAACGGCGAGCGAACAGGGAAGAGCCCAGCACUGAAUUGCGCGCCCUCACGGACGCUGCGAAAUGUAGUGUGUGGGAGAAUCCACUAUUUCGUAGUACAGCAUUGCGUCCAAGUCCUUCUUGAAGGGGGCCAUUUACCCAUAGAGGGUGCCAGGCCCGUAGCGACCAUUGCUUGCUGCGAAAGGAUUUCUCCUUAGAGUCAGGUUGCUUGAGAGUGCAGCCCUAAGUAGGUGGUAAACUCCAUCUAAGGCUAAAUAUGACCACGAGACCGAUAGCGAACAAGUACCGUGAGGGAAAGUUGAAAAGAACUUUGAAGAGAGAGUUCAAUAGUACGUGAAACCGUUUAAGUGUAAACCUGAGAAACCCGAAAGUUCGACCGGGGAGAUUCAGUGUGUUUCGGCGGGUGCGAGUGCCGAUCGACAGACAGUGUGGCCGCGUUCGCGCGCGCGCCCGCUGCUUCCUUCGUUGCGCCGUUUCCCUCGUCGAACGCAUGCACUUCUCCUCCAGUAGGACGUCACGACCUGUUGGGUGUCGGCCUACGGCUUGUGGUGGAGCUCGUUCAGUGUUUGCGCGCUCGUUCGAACCCACGAUGACCCGACCGGCUGCUCGACGGUACGAAUUUUUCGGCGCAAAGCCGCGAUGCACUCGCGUCCGGCCCGUCGCAAGCGUGAACGGUGAAUCGAACGUCGGACACAGCGCCGGCCUCGAAGCCAUUCAGCUGCCUUGGCGGCGGUGCUCUCGGACAGACUUUGUUCGCCCGUCUGUGACGCUAUAGCUUUGGGUAAUUUCAGGACCCGUCUUGAAACACGGACCAAGGAGUCUAGCAUGUAUGCGAGUCAUUGGGACUUGAUAAUCCUAACGGCGCAAUGAAAGCGAAGGCAGAGUUCGGCUCGGCCGAGGGAAGAUGGGCGACACUACACACGCCGCCUCGCAUUCCCAGGGCGUCUCAAUCACAUUGCGUGAUGAAGCGCACCCAGAGCAUACACGCUGGGA